rnacentral:rRNA from 1 species
GAAAUGUGGCGUAUAGAAGACCGCUUUGCCCGGUGUCGAGCGGGGGCCCUGAGUCCUUCUGAUCGAGGCUCAGCCGGUGGACGGUGUGAGGCCGGUAACGGCCCCCCGUCGCGCCGGGGUCCGGUCUUCUCGGAGUCGGGUUCGGCCUGAGUCCUUCUGAUCGAGGCCCAGCCCGUGGAUGGUGUGAGGCCAGUAACGGCCCCUGUCGCGCCGGGGUUCGGUCUUCUCAGAGUCGGGUUGUUUGGGAAAUGCAGCCCAAAGUUGGUUGGUAAACUCCAUCUAAGGCUAAAUACCGGCACGAGUCCGAUAGUCGACAAGUACCGUAAGGGAAAGGUUGAAAAGAACUUUGAAGAGAGAGUUCAAAGGAGGGCGUGAAACCGUUGAGAGGUAAACGGGUGGGGUCCGCGCAGUCUUGCCCGGAGGAUUCAGGGGCGGGCGGUCCGGGGUUCAGGGUCGGCCGUUCCGGUGUGGACGGAUCCCCUCGCGGGACUGACCCCUGGUCGGGCUCGGCCCCCGCCUGGCGCAUUUCCCUCCGUCGGUGGUGCGCCGCGACCGGCUCUGGGUCGGCUUGGAAGGGCUUGGGGCGAAGGUGGCUACCGGUUUCGGCCGUGAGCUUUAACAGCGCUCCUGCUCCGUACUCGCCGCUUUCCGGGGGCGGAGGACUUAGUACCCGCUGCGUCAUGUCCCCCUGCGGGGGGGCACGGGGCCCCUUGGCCCCCGGCGCGACUGUCAACCGGGUCGGACUGUCCUCAGUGCGCACCCAACCGCGUUGCGUCGCCAGGGUAGAGAUCGGCUCACGUAAACUGGCGCCAGGGGUCAGCGGCGAUGUCGGCAACCCACCCGACCCGUCUUGUAACACGGACCAAGGAGUCUAACGCACGCGCAAGUCAGAGUGUUUCCUCCGAACACACCCCGUGGCGCACAAUGAAAGGUGAGGGCCGGCGCGCGCCGGCUGAGGUGGGAAUCCCGGGGCCCUACCGGGUUCGGGCGCACCACCGGCCCGGUCUCGCCCGCUCUGUCGGGGGGGUGGAGCGUGAGCGCGUGCGAUAGGACCCGAAAGAUGGUGAACUAUGCCUGGGCAGGGCGAAGCCAGAGAAAAUCUGGUGGAGGUCCGUAGCGGUCCUGACGUGCAAAUCGGUCGUCGACCUGGGUUAUAGGGGCGAAAGACUAAUCGAACAAUCUAGUAGCUGGUUCCCUCCGAAGGUUUCCCUCAGGAUAGCUGGCGCUCGAUGUCUCGCAUUUUUUCUGGUAAAGCGAAUGAUUAGAGGUCUUGGGGCCGAAACGAUCUCAACCUAUUCCUCAAACCUUAAAAGUGGUUAAGAAGCCCGGCUCGCUGGCUUGGAGCCGGGGGUGGAAUGCGAGCCGCCUAGUGGGCCACUUUUGGUAAGCACAAAACUGGCGCUGCGGGAUGAACCGAACGCCGGGUUAAGGCGCCCGAUGCCGACGCUCAUCAGACCCCAGGAAAGGGGGUUUUGGUCGAUAUAGACAGCAGGGCGGUGGCCAUGGAAGGUCGGAAUCCGCUAAGGAGUGUGUAACACCUCACCUGCCGAAUCAACUAGCCCUGAAAAUGGAUGGCGCUGGAGCGUCGGGCCCAUCCCCGCCGUCGCUGGCCACGAGCGCCUCGAGGGCUACGCCGCGACGAGUAGGAAGGGCCGCCGCGGUGGGCACGGAAGCCUAGGGCGCGGCCCCGGUGGAGCCGCCGCGGGAGCAGAUCCUGGUGGUAGUAGCAAAUAUUCAAACGAGAGCUUUGAGGGCCGAAGUGGAGAAGGGUAUCCAUGUGAACAGCAGUUGAACUUGGUCAGUCGGUCCUAAGAGAUGGGCGACCGCGGUUAGAGGGGGGCGACCGCCGUGGGGAGGGGGGGGGCGCGGCCCUCCGUCGCCCCCGGUCGAUCGAAAGGGAGUCGGGUUCAAUCCCCGAAUCCGGAGUGGCGGAGAGGGGCGCCGCGAGGCGUCCCGUGCGGUAACGCGACCGAUCCCGGAGAAGCUGGCGGGAGCCCCCGGGGAGAGNNNNNNNNAUGUAAGGGAAGUCGGCAAGUCAGAUCCGUAACUUCGGGAUAAGGAUUGGCUCUAGGGGCGGGGUGGGUCGGGCUGGGGUGCGAAGCGGGGCUGGCCUCGAGCCGCGGCUGGGGGAGCAGUUGCUCCGCCGCCCUCCUCUCCGCACCGUUGGAAGUUUGUCGUGCGGCCCAUCUCGGGGGCUCUCGUUCGUGGUCUCCAAGGGCUGCGUGUGGGGGUUUAUCGGGGUGGUGUCCGCCGGUGGGCGAAGACGGACCGGUGAGGGGUUGGGUCCGGCGGUUGGCAGCGGCGACUUGGACGCGUGCCGGGCCCUUCUCGCGGAUCUCCCCAGCUACGGUGCUCGUCGGCCCCCUUAACGCGGGGUCUCCGGCGGGUUGCCUCGGCCGGGGCCUAGAGCUGACUUUAGAACUGGUGCGGACCAGGGGAAUCCGACUGUUUAAUUAAAACAAAGCAUCGCGAAGGCCCAAGGUGGGUGUUUGACGCGAUGUGAUUUCUGCCCAGUGCUCUGAAUGUCAAAGUGAAGAAAUUCAAUGAAAAGCGCGGGUAAAGGCGGGGGUAACUAUGAACUCUCUUAAGGUAGCCAAAAGACUCGGCAUCUAAUUAGUGACCGCGCAUGAAUGGAUGAACGAGAUUCCCACUGUCCCUACCUAAAUNNNNNNNNAGGCCCCGGCCGCCGGUGAAAUACCACUACUCUUACCCGGGCCGCCGGUGAAAUACCACUAUCUUAUCGUUUUUUCACUUACCCGGUGAGGCGGGGAGGCGAGCCCCGAGCGGGCUCUCGCUACUGCUUCAAGCACCCGGCUCGCGUCGGGUGCGACCCGCUCCGGGGACAGUGGCAGGGGGGGAGGUUGACUGGGGCGGUACACCUGUCAAAAGGUAACGCAGGUGUCCUAAGGCGAGCUCAGGGGAGGACAGAAACCUCCCGUGGAGCAGAAGGGCAAAAGCUCGCUUGAUCUUGAUUUCAGUAUGAAUACAGACCGUGAAAGCGGGGCCUCACGAUCCUUCUGAUGUUUGGGUUUUAAGCAGGAGUGUCAGAAAAGUCAGGGAUAACUGGCUUGUGGCGGCCAAACGUUCAUAAAUCUGACUUUUUGGGUUUUAAGCCGGCCAGCGUACCACAGGGAUAACUGGCUUGUGGCGGGCCAGCGUUCCUCCACAGGGAUAACUGGCUUGUGGCGGGCCAGCGGUCCUAGCGACGUCGCUUUUUUAUCCUUCGAUGUCUUACCACAGGGAGGCGCUUUUUGA